rnacentral:rRNA from 1 species
GAUGAACGCUGGCGGCGUGCCUAAUACAUGCAAGUCGAGCGAACAGACGAGGAGCUUGCUCCUCUGACGUUAGCGGCGGUCGGGUGAGUAACACGUGGAUAACCUACCUAUAAGACUGGGAUAACUUCGGGAAACCGGAGCUAAUACCGGAUAAUAUAUUGAACCGCAUGGUUCAAUAGUGAAAGACGGUUUUGCUGUCACUUAUAGCUGGAUCCGCGCCGCAUUAGCUAGUUGGUAAGGUAACGGCUUACCAAGGCAACGAUGCGUAGCCGACCUGAGAGGGUGAUCGGCCACACUGGAACUGAGACACGGUCCAGACUCCUACGGGAGGCAGCAGUAGGGAAUCUUCCGCAAUGGGCGAAAGCCUGACGGAGCAACGCCGCGUGAGUGAUGAAGGUCUUCGGAUCGUAAAACUCUGUUAUUAGGGAAGAACAAAUGUGUAAGUAACUAUGCACGUCUUGACGGUACCUAAUCAGAAAGCCACGGCUAACUACGUG